UCUCCCGUUCUUUCGCCCUUUCUCCUUUCUUUGUUUUUCACUUCUUCUCUUUCUUCUUUAAUUGAACAUUAAAUAACAGUGCAAGACAAAACAAAGGUCACAUGUUGGUCUUCUUCCAGAGCUUCUCUCCCCUUCCAUUUUUCUUUCCUUUUCUUUGUUCCUUUCUUUGGCAAGAAAAUAAGAUUCGGGAUUUUCUCUCCCAGAGAUGUCAAAAUGUUUUUCCUCCUCUUAUUUUCUCUUCAUCUCUCCAGUUUUUUUCUGCACUGCCAUCUACCCAAAUCGUUCUUCCUCUCAUCAGCUGAAUCAUGUGUGGAAAGGUUGAAUAUUUACAUUGACUCUAGAUUCAAGGGAUUUUUUUUUUAUGGAGAGCAAUGAAGGAGGGGAUGAUAAUGUUCUGUAUGGUUUAGCAAGUCAAAAAAGGUUUGCUUUUUUUCAUACCCUUUUCUAAAUAAUCAAGAACAUUCCCUAUUAAUCCUUUGGCAAAAUGUUGUGAAAUAUAAGAUAUUUCAAUCCAAAAAAGUACAAUUAUAAUGUUAAUAUGAUUAGCAAUCCUGUAAACUGUACUGUCCCUAUAGCUUCUGAGGUCUUCAAGAAAGCAGGGACUUAUGAUGACAGAAAGUUGUUUGGCGUCACUAUACUCGAUGUUGUCAGGGCGAAGACAUUCUAUGCUAGGAAGGCCAAAGUCAAUGUUGCAGGAAAUGACCAUACUUUCUGUUUUGUUACUGGUGGGUCUGCUCAUGUGCAAAUGCAACUUAGCACCAAAGAGUGUGAGAGUCUGGGAUUAACUGGUCUGGCUCUCUGUUAGACUGCAACACCUUUGCUGAGUACGUCAAGGACCAAGGAUCUGUUGAGGCAUGAGAGUAAUAAAAGCCGUGGUGACAUCCUUUUCAUGUAUGUCAUUAUUGUGGGUUUGCUUGGCCUUGUUCUGGGUUAUCUUUUGAAGAGGACGUAAUCAAUCAAGGUUUGGCGUAACCUGCAAUAUCAUGUGUUACAGUCUGUUUCAAAAUAUUUAGAUCAUUGAAGACAAAUGUACAACUGAUCGGGAAGCGCUCAGUAUCAUGUAGCCAUCUGAUUUGAUUGACUGUAGAAACAUGCUUAAGAAGGUGCUUGAUGGAUUUUUGUUAUUGCCUUGGGGGCUUUAGAGCAUUCAUUGUGUGACUAAUUGCUGUAACGUGUUAUUUUGGAAACUUAAG